AUGAACGCUAGCGGCAGGCCUAACACAUGCAAGUCGAGGGAGAAGCCCUUUCGGGGGCAGAAACCGGCGCACGGGUGCGUAACGCGUAUGCAACCUACCUUUCACAGGGGGAUAGCCCGAAGAAAUUUGGAUUAAUACCCCAUAAUAUUAUUGGAUGGCAUCAUUUGAUAAUUAAAACUGCGGUGGUGAAAGAUGGGCAUGCGUCCUAUUAGCUAGUUGGAGUGGUAACGGCACCCCAAGGCUACGAUAGGUAGGGGUCCUGAGAGGGAGAUCCCCCACACUGGUACUGAGACAGGGACCAGACUCCUACGGGAGGCAGCAGUGAGGAAUAUUGGUCAAUGGUCGGAAGACUGAACCAGCCAUGCCGCGUGCAGGAGGAAUGCCUUAUGGGUUGUAAACUGCUUUUAUAUGGGAAGAAUAAGGCGUACGUGUACGUUGAUGACGGUACCAUAUGAAUAAGCAUCGGCUAACUCCGUG
rnacentral:rRNA from 1 species